AUUGAACGCUGGCGGCAGGCCUAACACAUGCAAGUCGAGCGGAUGAAGGGAGCUUGCUCCUGGAUUCAGCGGCGGACGGGUGAGUAAUGCCUAGGAAUCUGCCUGGUAGUGGGGGAUAACGUCCGGAAACGGGCGCUAAUACCGCAUACGUCCUGAGGGAGAAAGUGGGGGAUCUUCGGACCUCACGCUAUCAGAUGAGCCUAGGUCGGAUUAGCUAGUUGGUGGGGUAAAGGCCUACCAAGGCGACGAUCCGUAACUGGUCUGAGAGGAUGAUCAGUCACACUGGAACUGAGACACGGUCCAGACUCCUACGGGAGGCAGCAGUGGGGAAUAUUGGACAGUGGGCGAAAGCCUGAUCCAGCCAUGCCGCGUGUGUGAAGAAGGUCUUCGGAUUGUAAAGCACUUUAAGUUGGGAGGAGGGGCAGUAAGUUAAUACCUUGCUGUUUUGACGUUACCAACAGAAUAAGCACCGGCUAACUUCGUG
rnacentral:rRNA from 1 species